AUGAACGCUAGCUACAGGCUUAACACAUGCAAGUCGAGGGGAAACGAUAUUGGAAGCUGCUUCCGAUAGGCGUCGACCGGCGCACGGGUGAGUAACGCGUAUCCAACCUGCCCAUCACUUGGGAAUAACCUUGCGAAAGUAAGACUAAUGCCCAAUGACAUUUAUAGAAGGCAUCUGAAAGGGAUUAAAGAUUUAUCGGUGAUGGAUGGGGAUGCGUCUGAUUAGCUUGUUGGCGGGGUAACGGCCCACCAAGGCGACGAUCAGUAGGGGUUCUGAGAGGAAGGUCCCCCACAUUGGAACUGAGACACGGUCCAAACUCCUACGGGAGGCAGCAGUGAGGAAUAUUGGUCAAUGGGCGAGAGCCUGAACCAGCCAAGUAGCGUGCAGGAUGACGGCCCUAUGGGUUGUAAACUGCUUUUAUAAGGGAAUAAAGUGAGAGUCGUGACUCUUUUUGCAUGUACCUUAUGAAUAAGGACCGGCUAAUUCCGUG
rnacentral:rRNA from 1 species